rnacentral:misc_RNA from 1 species
CGCACCAAUGCUAAGGACCCCAUCUCCAAUGGAACAGCAAGCAGCUAAUCUCUUCACCAAAAAAGUUUUUGCAAAGUUUCAAGAGGAACUAGUUGAAACUUUUGCCCACACAGCCAAUAAGAUAGAUGGUGAUGAGACUCUAAGCAAAUUUAGGGUUGCAAAAUAUGAACAGGAUGACAAGGCUUACAUUGUUAUGUUGAAUCUUGCCCAGAUGAAAGCAAGUUGCAG